GGUUAAGCGAUUAAGCGUACACGGUGGAUGCCCUGGCAGUCAGAGGCGAUGAAGGACGUGCUAAUCUGCGAAAAGCGUCGGUAAGGUGAUAUGAACCGUUAUAACCG
rnacentral:rRNA from 1 species